UUUCAAGUAUCUGCCUUAUCAACUUUCGAUGGUAGUUUAUGUGCCUACCAUGGUUGCAACGGGUAACGGAAAAUAAGGGUUUGAUUCCGGAGAGGGAGCCUGAGAAACGGCUACCACAUCUAAGGAAGGCAGCAGGCGCGCAAAUUACCCACUGGAGGUGCUCCGAGGUAGUGACUAACAAUAACGAGACCGUCUUCUAUGAGGCCGGUUAUCGGAAUGGGUACAAUUUAAACCCUUUAACGAGGAUCUAUGAGAGGGCAAGUCUGGUGCCAGCAGCCGCGGUAAUUCCAGCUCUCAAGGUGUAUAUCCCUAUUGCUGCGGUUAAAAAGCUCGUAGUUGGAUCUCCGCCUCAGGACGUGGUCCGCCUUUAGGUGUGUACUGCGAUCCUAGGCAGUUACUGCUGGUUUUCAGCCGGUGGCCUUAACUGGUUGCCGGUUGUGGCUAGCGAGUUUACCUUGAGUAAAUCAGAUUGCUCAAGAAAGGCGUUUCGCCUGAAUGUUUGUGCAUGGAAUAAUGGAAUAGGACUUCGGUUCUGUUUUGUUGGUUUUCUGAACUGAAGUAAUGAUUAAGA
rnacentral:rRNA from 1 species